rnacentral:rRNA from 1 species
GACGUAGGGCGCGAGCGUUGUCCGGAAUUAUUGGGCGUAAAGAGCUCGUAGGCGGCUCGUUGCGUCGGCUGUGAAAACCCGCAGCUCAACUGUGGGCUUGCAGCUGAUACGGGCGGGCUGGGAUUCGGUAGGGGAGACUGGAAUUCCUGGUGUAGCGGUGAAAUGCGCAGAUAUCAGGAGGAACACCGGUGGCGAAGGCGGGUCUCUGGGCCGAUAUCGACGCUGAGGAGCGAAAGCGUGGGGAGCGAACAGG